GUGAGCCGAGCGGUCUAAGGCGCUGGUUCAAGGCCUCCUCGGAGGCGUGGGUUCGAAUCCCACCGCUGCCA